AAUUUUUGUAGUUUGUCUUACUGUCUCAUUUGGAUAGGCUAUUGACUGAUUGAUUUUUCAUGAAAUUGAUAAUUUUGGUCUUAUUGUCUCAUUUGGACAGGAUAUUGACAGAUUGAUUGUCAUGAAUUGACAAUUUUAUGUGAUAAUAUAAUCUUCUAAGAUGGUAUUGAUAAUCAAAUUCUAUUUGUGCUAACCAAAAAUUAAAUGAAUAAUAAACUUCACCCACGCUUGCGAAAGUGAAUCUUGAAU
rnacentral:misc_RNA from 1 species